UGUCAAGACCCUAAUUAAGAGGAGAAGAAGAGGAGAACAUUAGCAAUUGACUGUUGGGGGAAAAACUAAAUGCAGAUGUGCAGCAAUGUAGUUAGGAAGAGAAGAUGAGAAUAAGAAGAAGAAGAAAAGGUGGGAGAAAAAUAGAGAGAGAAAGAAUAAGAGGAGGCGAAUGGGGAUAAAAAGGAGUGUUAUGGUUAAAACCCUA
rnacentral:lncRNA from 1 species